CAAUAGCGUAUAUUUAAGUUGUUGCAGUUAAAAAGCUCGUAGUUGGAUUUCGGUUAAGAGCGACCGGUCCGCCGUUUGGUGUGCACUGGUUGGUUUUAACUUCCUGUAGAGGACGUGCUCUGGGUUUAACGACCUGGACUCGGAGUCUACGUGGUUACUUUGAGAAAAUUAGAAUGUUCAAAGCGGGCUUACGCUUGAAUAUUUCAGCAUGGAAUAACACUAUAGGACUCCUGUCCUAUUUCGUUGGUCUCGGGACGGGAGUAAUGAUUAAGAGGAACAGUUGGGGGCAUUCGUAUUUCAUUGUCAGAGGUGAAAUUCUUGGAUUUAUGAAAGACGAACUUCUGCGAAAGCAUUUGCCAAGGAUGUUUUCAUUA
rnacentral:rRNA from 1 species